rnacentral:rRNA from 1 species
CCUACGGGAGGCAGCAGUGGGGAAUAUUGGACAAUGGGCGCAAGCCUGACCCAGCGACGCCGCGUGAGGGAAGAAGGCUUUCGGGAUGUAAACCUCUUUUAGCAGGGAAGAAAGAAAUGCCGUUACUUGUCAAUGAGGCACCGGCAAACUACGUGCCAGCAGCGGCGGUAAUACGAAGGGGGCAGGCGUUGUCCGGAUUUACUGGGUGUAAAGGGUGUGUAGACGGUAGUACAAGUCAGAAGUGAAACGCGGGGGCUCAACCGCCGAACUGCAUUGGAAACUGUAUUCCUUGAGUACAGGAGAGGUAAGCGGAAUUCCUAGUGUAGCGGUGAAAUGCGUAGAUAUAAGGAAGAACACCAGUGGCGAAGGCGGAUGACUGGACUGUAACUGACGGUGAGGCUCGAAAGCGUGGGGAGCAAACAGGAUUAGAUACCCGAGUAGUC